UUAAGUUAUUAAGGGCGCACGGUGGAUGCCUUGGCACUAGAAGCCGAUGAAGGACGUUACUAACGACGAUAUGCUUUGGGGAGCUGUAAGUAAGCUUUGAUCCAGAGAUUUCCGAAUGGGGAAACCCAGCAUGAGUUAUGUCAUGUUAUCGAUAUGUGAAUACAUAGCAUAUCAGAAGGCACACCCGGAGAACUGAAACAUCUUAGUACCCGGAGGAAGAGAAAGAAAAUUCGAUUCCCUUAGUAGCGGCGAGCGAAACGGGAAGAGCCCAAACCAACAAGCUUGCUUGUUGGGGUUGUAGGACACUCUAUACGGAGUUACAAAGGACGACAUUAGACGAAUCAUCUGGAAAGAUGAAUCAAAGAAGGUAAUAAUCCUGUAGUCGAAAAUGUUGUCUCUCUUGAGUGGAUCCUGAGUACGACGGAGCACGUGAAAUUCCGUCGGAAUCUGGGAGGACCAUCUCCUAAGGCUAAAUACUCUCUAGUGACCGAUAGUGAACCAGUACCGUGAGGGAAAGGUGAAAAGCACCCCGGAAGGGGAGUGAAAUAGAACCUGAAACCGUGUGCUUACAAGUAGUCAGAGCCCGUUAAUGGGUGAUGGCGUGCCUUUUGUAGAAUGAACCGGCGAGUUACGAUUUGAUGCAAGGUUAAGCAGUAAAUGUGGAGCCGUAGCGAAAGCGAGUCUGAAUAGGGCGUUUAGUAUUUGGUCGUAGACCCGAAACCAGGUGAUCUACCCUUGGUCAGGUUGAAGUUCAGGUAACACUGAAUGGAGGACCGAACCGACUUACGUUGAAAAGUGAGCGGAUGAACUGAGGGUAGCGGAGAAAUUCCAAUCGAACCUGGAGAUAGCUGGUUCUCUCCGAAAUAGCUUUAGGGCUAGCCUCAAGUGAUGAUUAUUGGAGGUAGAGCACUGUUUGGACGAGGGGCCCCUCUCGGGUUACCGAAUUCAGACAAACUCCGAAUGCCAAUUAAUUUAACUUGGGAGUCAGAACAUGGGUGAUAAGGUCCGUGUUCGAAAGGGAAACAGCCCAGACCACCAGCUAAGGUCCCAAAAUAUAUGUUAAGUGGAAAAGGAUGUGGCGUUGCCCAGACAACUAGGAUGUUGGCUUAGAAGCAGCCAUCAUUUAAAGAGUGCGUAAUAGCUCACUAGUCGAGUGACACUGCGCCGAAAAUGUACCGGGGCUAAACAUAUUACCGAAGCUGUGGAUUGUCCUUUGGACAAUGGUAGGAGAGCGUUCUAAGGGCGUUGAAGCAUGAUCGUAAGGACAUGUGGAGCGCUUAGAAGUGAGAAUGCCGGUGUGAGUAGCGAAAGACGGGUGAGAAUCCCGUCCACCGAUUGACUAAGGUUUCCAGAGGAAGGCUCGUCCGCUCUGGGUUAGUCGGGUCCUAAGCUGAGGCCGACAGGCGUAGGCGAUGGAUAACAGGUUGAUAUUCCUGUACCACCUAUAAUCGUUUUAAUCGAUGGGGGGACGCAGUAGGAUAGGCGAAGCGUGCGAUUGGAUUGCACGUCUAAGCAGUAAGGCUGAGUAUUAGGCAAAUCCGGUACUCGUUAAGGCUGAGCUGUGAUGGGGAGAAGACAUUGUGUCUUCGAGUCGUUGAUUUCACACUGCCGAGAAAAGCCUCUAGAUAGAAAAUAGGUGCCCGUACCGCAAACCGACACAGGUAGUCAAGAUGAGAAUUCUAAGGUGAGCGAGCGAACUCUCGUUAAGGAACUCGGCAAAAUGACCCCGUAACUUCGGGAGAAGGGGUGCUCUUUAGGGUUAACGCCCAGAAGAGCCGCAGUGAAUAGGCCCAAGCGACUGUUUAUCAAAAACACAGGUCUCUGCUAAACCGUAAGGUGAUGUAUAGGGGCUGACGCCUGCCCGGUGCUGGAAGGUUAAGAGGAGUGGUUAGCUUCUGCGAAGCUACGAAUCGAAGCCCCAGUAAACGGCGGCCGUAACUAUAACGGUCCUAAGGUAGCGAAAUUCCUUGUCGGGUAAGUUCCGACCCGCACGAAAGGCGUAACGAUUUGGGCACUGUCUCAACGAGAGACUCGGUGAAAUCAUAGUACCUGUGAAGAUGCAGGUUACCCGCGACAGGACGGAAAGACCCCGUGGAGCUUUACUGUAGCCUGAUAUUGAAAUUCGGCACAGCUUGUACAGGAUAGGUAGGAGCCUUUGAAACGUGAGCGCUAGCUUACGUGGAGGCGCUGGUGGGAUACUACCCUAGCUGUGUUGGCUUUCUAACCCGCACCACUUAUCGUGGUGGGAGACAGUGUCAGGCGGGCAGUUUGACUGGGGCGGUCGCCUCCUAAAAGGUAACGGAGGCGCUCAAAGGUUCCCUCAGAAUGGUUGGAAAUCAUUCAUAGAGUGUAAAGGCAUAAGGGAGCUUGACUGCGAGACCUAUAAGUCGAGCAGGGUCGAAAGACGGACUUAGUGAUCCGGUGGUUCCGCAUGGAAGGGCCAUCGCUCAACGGAUAAAAGCUACCCCGGGGAUAACAGGCUUAUCUCCCCCAAGAGUUCACAUCGACGGGGAGGUUUGGCACCUCGAUGUCGGCUCAUCGCAUCCUGGGGCUGUAGUCGGUCCCAAGGGUUGGGCUGUUCGCCCAUUAAAGCGGUACGCGAGCUGGGUUCAGAACGUCGUGAGACAGUUCGGUCCCUAUCCGUCGUGGGCGUAGGAAAUUUGAGAGGAGCUGUCCUUAGUACGAGAGGACCGGGAUGGACAUACCUCUGGUGUACCAGUUGUCGUGCCAACGGCAUAGCUGGGUAGCUAUGUGUGGACGGGAUAAGUGCUGAAAGCAUCUAAGCAUGAAGCCCCCCUCAAGAUGAGAUUUCCCAACUUCGGUUAUAAGAUCCCUCAAAGAUGAUGAGGUUAAUAGGUUCGAGGUGGAAGCAUGGUGACAUGUGGAGCUGACGAAUACUAAUCGAUCGAAGACUUAAUCAA
rnacentral:rRNA from 1 species